rnacentral:tRNA from 1 species
CGGGGCGUGGCGCAGACCGGCUAGCGCGCUUGCAUGGGGUGCAAGAGGCCCUGGGUUCAAAUCCCAGCGCCCCGACUA